CCUACGGGGGGCUGCAGUGGGGAAUAUUGGACAAUGGGGGCAACCCUGAUCCAGCCAUGCCGCGUGUGUGAAGAAGGCCCUCGGGUUGUAAAGCACUUUCAGUGAGGAAGAACGCCUGGUGGUUAAUACCCAUCAGGAAAGACAUCACUCACAGAAGAAGCACCGGCUAACUCCGUGCCAGCAGCCGCGGUAAUACGGAGGGUGUGAGCGUUAAUCGGAAUUACUGGGCGUAAAGCGCGCGUAGGUGGCUUGAUAAGCCGGUUGUGAAAGCCCCGGGCUCAACCUGGGAACGGCAUCCGGAACUGUCAAGCUAGAGUGCAGGAGAGGAAGGUAGAAUUCCCGGUGUAGCGGUGAAAUGCGUAGAGAUCGGGAGGAAUACCAGUGGCGAAGGCGGCCUUCUGGACUGACACUGACACUGAGGUGCGAAAGCGUGGGUAGCAAACAGGAUUAGAUACCCUAGUAGUC
rnacentral:rRNA from 1 species